UAUAAUAUCAAAGAUAUAAUUGAGAGCGGUCGGUUGAGAUGUAACGGCUUUAGUAAAAUGCAAGAGAUAUAAUAUCAAAGAUAUAAUUAAGACUCGUCAGUUGAGAUAUAAUUGCUCUAGAGUCCUGUAUUAUGAAAAUAUAGACUAGAUCGUUCGGUGUUUGAUUGAUAUUUUGAAAAAUCCAUCUGAAGAUGCGUCAUGACCAAGAAAUAGUCUUUCUCAAGUCUUUAGACCGGGGCUUAAAUUUGAAUUUAUGGGGUGUAACACUUUUGCAAUUGCUUCUCUCACAUUCCCUGAUAAUGAAUCAUGAACUAUAUGCUCCAGGAUAUAGUGAACAAGGUUGGUGCAGGUGGCAGCGAAACCCCAGAAUUUGUGGAAUUCUUGCACUCAACUCCAAGAAAAGAAAUUAAUUUUAUAAUAUCCAUCGUACACCAACCUUCCCAUUGAUUUAAACUUAAAUGCCGGGACCCACCAUAUUUAGCUUUCGGAUCCCAUUAUUUUAACACAACUUUUUUUUUUUAAAUCUGUGAACCAAAAUGAAUAGAGUUUGGAAAAUUUGGCAUUCCAAAUAUACCCUUUCCCUGUUCCAUCGUGUUUUGUCUCAAAUUUCGUUCUCUCUCUCAUUUUGUUCUCUCUCUCAUUUUGUUCUUCUCUGCAUUGUGGUUGCCCCCUGCUUGGUCUGUGUGACAUUCGAUUUUUGGUUCUCCGUUGUUGGCGUUUGAUGGAAAUGGAAAGUCCCGAACAACAGCUUCGUUGUAGGAAGGUAAAUGCGUUGUUGGGUUUUGGGUUUUUUGUUAAGGUACUUGGGUUUUUGUGUUGUUCGACUUUUGGGUUUUUGUUUUGCGUUGUUGGGUUUUUGGUUUGCGUUGUUAGGUUUUGUGUUUUUGAUUUGUGGUCUUCCGUUCUGGAUGUUGUGGUGAGGGUUUAAUGUUUAUUUGUUUUGGGUUUUUGAUUUGUGUUCGUCGUUAUUGAUGUUGUGGUAAGGGUAGUGUGUUUUUGUGUUUUGUGUAAUUGUUUUGGGGUCUUGUGUUCUUUGUUUUAUGUUUCUUUGUGGGUUUUUCGACCCCUUUUAGUUUUG
rnacentral:lncRNA from 1 species